ensembl:lncRNA
AGCAUAUAUCCUCGUGGACAGAAGGCAUGUGAGAGAAAGUUUUUCUCUCUCUUUUUGGCUCUGCUGGGUCUUCGUUGCUGUGUGCCGGUUUUCUCUAGUUGCUGCGAGCAGGGGCUUCUCUUCACUGGGGUGCGCGAGCUUCUCACUGCUGCAACUUCCUUUGUUGCAAAGCACGCCCCAGGUGCAGAGCUUCAGUAGUUGUGGCACCUGGGCUUAGCUGCUCCUCGGCAUGUGGAACCCUCUGGGAUCAAGGAAACCACAUCCACAAAGUCCCAGGCCCCAGAAGCAGGCACCCUCUGCCCAUUUCUGAAAUAAGCUCUCAGGCCUUGGUGGUAGCCUGAGCUGCUCCCAGGGUUGUGAGCUGCUGAAUCUUCUGGCUCAUCAUCUCUACGACAGCCUGUUUCACGGCAUGCUUCUCCUGCAGAGCUGGCUGGAUUUUUUCCAUUUGCUUGAGUACAUCAUGAGAAAUGCUGGGCUGGAAGAAGCACAAGCUGGAAUCAAGAUUGCCGGGAGAAAUAUCAACAACCUCAGAUAUGCAGAUGACACCACCCUUAUGGCAGAAAGUGAAGAGGAGCUAAAAAGCCUUUUGAUGAAAGUGAAAGAGGAGAGUGAAAAAGUUGGCUUAAAGCUCAACAUUCAGAAAACGAAGAUCAUGGCGUCUGGUCCCAUAACUUCAUGGGAAAUAGAUGGGAAACAGUAGAAACAGUGUCAGACUUUAUUUUGGGGGGCUCCAAAAUCACUGCAGAUGGUGACUGCAGCCAUGAAAUUAAAAGACACUUACUCCUUGGAAGGAAAGUUUUGACCAACCUAGAUAGUAUAUUCAAAAGCAGAGACAUUACUUUGCCAACUAAGGUCCAUCUAGUCAAGGCUAUAGUUUUUCCUGUGGUCAUGUAUGGAUGUGAGAGUUGGACUGUGAAGAAGGCUGAGCACUGAAGAAUUGAUGCUUUUGAACUGUGGUGUUGGAGAAGACUCUUGAGAGUCCCCUGGACUGCAAGGAGAUCCAACCUGUCCAUUCUAAAGGAGAUCAGUCCUGGAUGUUCUUUGGAAGGAAUGAUGCUAAAGCUGAAACUCCAGUACUUUGGCCACUCAUUGAAAAAAAACCCUGAUGCUGGGAGGGAUUGGGGGCAGGAGGAGAAGGGGAUGACCGAGGAUGAGAUGGCUGGAUGGCAUCCCUGACUCGAUGGGCAUGAGUCUGAGUGAACUCCGGGAGUUGAUGAUGGACAGGGAGGCCUGGCGUGCUGCGAUUCAUGGGGUCGCAAAGAGUCGGACACGACUGAGUGACUGAACUGAACUGAAUAAGCAUUAUUGUUUUUGCUACAAAUAUCCAUGCAUAGUUUUUUUGUAUGAGCAUAAGUCUUUAUUUCUUUGGGGAAAAAGGCUCAGGACUGCAAUUGCUGGGUCCGAAUGCUAGAAUGUUUAAUUUUUUAAGAAACUGUCAAACUGUUUUCUAGAGAGGCUAUACCAUUGCAUAUAGCCACCUGUAGUGAACGGGCGAACUGCAAUUCACACCAGCAUCUUGAGUUGUCACUAUAUGUAGUUUAGCCAUGCUAUUAGAUGUCUAGUGAUAUCUCAUCGUAUUUGUUUUUUUUUUUUAACUGAAGUAGAGUUAAUUUACAGCAUUGUGUUAGUUUCAAGUGUACAACUAAGUGAUUCAGUUAUACAGGUAUAUAUGUUAUUUUCCAGAUUCUUUUCCAUUAUACAAGAUAUUGAGUCUAGUUCCUCGUCCUAUAAUGGGAGAGUCUUAUUGUUCACCUAUUUUAUAUAUAGUAGCAGGUGUAAAUUAAUCCCAAACUCCUAAUUCUCAUUGUGAUUUUGAUUUGCAUUUCAUUCAGGACUAAUAUGGAGAAGGCAAUGGCACCCCACUCCAGUACUCCUGCCUGGAAAAUCCCAUGGACGGAGGAGCCUGGUGGGCUGCAGUCCAUGGGGUCGCAGAGGGUUGGACACGACUGAGCGACUUCACUUUCAUUUUCACUUUUCACUUUCAUGCAUUGGAGAAGGAAAUGGCAACCCACUCCAGUGUUCCUGCCUGGAGAAUCCCAGGGAUGGGGGAGCCUGGUGGGCUGCCAUCUAUGGGGCCACACAGAGUCAGACACUACUAAAGUGACUUAGCAGCAGCAGCAGCAUGACUAAUGAUGUUGAAGUCCUUUUCAUCUGCUUAUUUGCCAGCUGAAUAUCCUCUUUUGUGAAGUGCCUCUUUCAGUCUUUUGCCUGUUCUUUAAUUGGAUGGUUUUUUGCUUGUGUGUUUGUUUUGCUUUUGAGUUCUGAGAGCUGUUAACAUAGUCUAUAUACCAAUCCUUUAUCAGAUAUACCGUUUGUGAAUAUUUUUCCUCAUUCUGUAGCUUGUGUUUUUAUCCUCUUAACAGGGUCUUCUGAAGAGAAAGAGCUUUUAAUUAUAUGAAGUCUGGUAUAUCCAUUUUCAAGUAUUUAUUUUUAUUUAUUCAUUCCACCGCCCUGGGUCUUAGUUGCAGCACGUGGGAUCUUCAAUCUUUGUUGUGGUAUGUGGGAUCCUUAGUUGUAGUAUUCGAAUUAUUAGUUGAGGCAUGUGGGAUCUGGUUUGCUGACUAGGAAUCAACCUCAGUGCCCCCUGCAAUGGGAGCAUGGCAUCUUAGCCACUAGACCACCAGGGAACCUUGAUACAUCAAUUUUUCAUUUUCAGGGAUUACUCUUUUGCUAUCAAAUUUAAGAAUGCCUCAUCUACCCCUAGAUCCUGAGGAUUUUGUUCUGUGUUUUCUUUAAAUUUCUUUACAGUUUUAUGUUUUGCAAUAUGUCCAUGAUCCAUCUUGGGUCAGUUUUUUAUAAGGUUUGAGACCUUAGGUUGGGUUUCAUAAUACAGCCUAGAGAUGGUCAUUCAUAUGCUCCAGCAUCGUUUGUUGAAAUGGCUGUAUUUCCUGCAUCGUACCUUUAUCAGACAUCACUUGGGCAUAUUUGCAUGGGUCUAGUUCUGGGUAUUUUAUUCUGUUCCUUUGAUCUGUGUGUAUAUGCUUCCACAAAUACCACACAGUCUUGAUUACUGUAGCUCUAUCAUCAGCCUUACUAUCAACUAGGUUCCUUUCUCCUACUGUAUUCUUCUUUUUCAAAUUAUUUCAGCUAUUCUAGUUCCUUUCCCUUUCUGUAUAAAUUUUAGAAUAAUCUUGCCUAUAUCUAUAAAAAAAAUCUUGCUGGGAAUUUGAUAGGAAUUGUUUUAAAACAAUAUAUAAAUUGGGGAGAAUUGAUAUUAUUAUCUUCUUUUAAAAUCAUAUUUAUUUGUUUGUUUAUAUUUUGGACACACCAUGAAGCUUGUGGGAUCUUAAUUCCCCAACCAGGGCCUGAAUCCAAGCCCUUGGCAGUCAAAGUACAGAGUCCUAACCACUGUAGCUCCAGGGAAUUCUCCAUUAUUAUCUUAAGUAUUCCAAUCCAUAUGCGCAGUGUACUUCUCAUUUUUUUUCUUAGAGUUUUAAAAAUUUCUUUCAUUGGCUUUGUGAUUUUCAGCAUACAAGAUUUGUACAUGUUUUGCUAGAUUUACAUUUAAGUAUUUCAUUUUUUUAAGCUAUUGUGAAAAGUACUAUGCUUUUAAUCUCAGUGUCCAUGUGUUCAUUGCUUGUAUGUGGAAAUACAAUUGAUUGUUGUAGGUUUAUCUUGCAUCACAUGACCUUUCACUCACCACUGCCAGGAGAUAUUUUGCCUUUUUUUUUUCCCUGUGAUUUUCUACAUAGACAAUCUUAUUAUCUUCAUGGGGACAAAUUUUGAUACAUUGUAUUUCCAUUUUCAUUCGCAUCAACAUUUUUUUUAAAUUUCCUUAGAGACUUCUUUAACCCAUGGAUUAUCUACCAUUAUACUGUUUAGUUUCCAAAAGUUUCAAGCUUUUCAUAUUAUCUUUCUAUUUUUGACUGCUAGUUUGAUUCCAUUGUGGUUGGAAAACACAUUUUGUUUAAUUAUGGUUCUAUCAAAUGUUUUGAGGUCUGUUUUGUCGCCCAGGAUAUGACCUAUCUUGGUAUAUGUUCCAUUGGUACUUGGAAAGAAUGUGUAUUCUGACGUUUCUAGGUAGAGUGUUCUAUAAAUAUCUGUUCACUUCGGUUGGGUAUUGAUGUUGAGUUCUACAUCACUGCUGACUUUCUGUUUAGCUAUUAUAUCAAUUGUCAGGGUGUUGAAAUCUCCAACUAUAAUUGUGGAUUUGUCCGUUCCUUGUUUUAGUUCUAACACUUUCGGCAUCACCUGUUUUGCAGCUCUUUUGCUUGGUGUGCAUUUAUUUAGGAAGGUUCACUAGGUUUUCCUGGUGAAUUGGUCUUCCCCUUUACUUUUAAUUAUAUAAUACCCUCUUUAUCUCUAGUGAUGCUCUUUGCUCUGAAGUCUACUUCCUGUGAUAUUGCCAUAGCCACUCCUGCUUUUCUUUGACUAAUCUUUACAUGAUGUGUUUUUUCCAUCCUUCUACUUUCAAUGCUUGUAUCAUUAUAUUUGAAGUAAGUUUCUUGUAAUAGCAUGUAGUUGGGUCAUGUUUCUUAAUAAAAACUACCAAUCUCUAUCUAAGUUGUUGUAUUUAAGCCAUUAAUUAAUAAGGUAGUGAUUAAACCUGGCAUUUUAUGGUCAUUUUCUGACUCUUCUGGUUUUUUUUUUUUUCCCUAUCUUUAUGUGGGUUACCUGAAUAUUUUUUAGAAUCCCAGUUUGAUUUAUCCAUAUUUCUUUGAGUAUAUCUCUCUUUCUAGCCUUUUAAACAUUUCUCUAGGGGUUACAUUAUAUAUGAAAACGUAUCACCGUCUGCUGGUGUUGUCAUCUAACCCAUAUGAACAAAGUGGAGAACACCAACCUCAUUUUGCAUCCAUUUCACUCCCUGUUUACAUUAUUAUCUUAAAUAUUGCCUCUAUAUGCAUUAAGAACCAUAUUAAACAGUGUUAUAAUUUUUGCUUAUUCUGAAAAGCGUAAUUUAGAAAACUCAAGAGGGUAGGUCAAGCCUGUUUUUUUCAAUCCAUAGUUUUGUUUAUGAUGUUCUUUCUUCCUUAAGUGCCAAGGUCCCUAUUUUUAUCAUUUUCUCCCUUUAGUCAUUCCUUGAGGGUAGGUCUGCUGGCAACUAAGUCUCUUAGAUUUCUUUCAUCUGAGGAUAUGUCUUGAUUUCCACUUUAUUUCUGAAGGAUAUUUUUGAUAGAUAUAGCACUUGGGAUUGACAGUUCUUUUCUUUCAACACUUGAAAAACAUUGUGCCUCUUCCUUCUGUCUUCCGUGGUUUCUGGUGACAAAUAUCCUGCCUUGCAAAUUAUAUAUCCCCUACAGGUAUUGUGUCAUUUUUAUCUGGCUGCUUUCAAGACUUAAUUAUAAUGCACCGUGGAUUUCUUUGGGUCUAUCCUAUUUGGGAUUCAGUCAGCUUCUCGAAUCAGUAGGUUUACGCUCCUUGCCAAAUUUGGAGAGUUUUCAGCCACUAUUUCUUCAAGUAUUUUUAGUCCUGCUUUCUUUCUCCUUCCCUUCCAGGACUCCAAUGAUGCGAGUGUAGAAUCUUUUGUUAUGGUUCCAAAGGAUCCUUAGGCUCUGUUCAUUCAUUCUUCAAUCUGUUUUGUCUCUGCUAUUCAAAUUGGAUCAUUUCUCUUUCUUUCUUCAUUUUAUUUUGCCUGCACGAGGUCUUUGCCGAGCAUGCAGGCUUUCUCUAGUUCUCUUGUUGCGGUGGGUUCCCUUGUUGCAGUACAUGGGCUCUAGAGCACGUGGGCUCAGUAGCUGUGUGUGCAGGCUUAGUUGCCGUGCAGUAUGUGGGAUCUUAGUUUUCCAACCAGGGAUCAAACUCGCAUCACCUGUUUUGAAAGGUGGAUUCUUAACCACCAGACUACCAGGGAAGUCCUAAAUUUGGUCAUUUCUGUGUUCAAAUGUACAGUUCACUGAUUUUUUUCCCUCUAAUUCCUCUAUUCUGUGGUUAAAUCAUGGACUUGGGAUUUUUAAAACAAUUUUCAAUCAUUGCAGUUUUCCCUUCUAGAAAUUGUAUUUGAUUCUCCUUUAUCUUUUCUAAAUCUGAAAAUGUCUGUUUCUUUCUAGAGGCUCUCUUUGUCCUCAUUUGUUUCAUGUGUGUUAGUAAUUGCUUGCUGUUGCCCAGUAUGAUGAGAAGUUUCCUAUCAGACUUUUUGUGUUAUGCUGUGAAGCUCUGGAUCGCAUAUAAACUUUCUGCUCUAGCAGACUUUCUGUGAUACUGGUAAGGCAAGGGAAGAGGGGAUGCCACCUCACUGUGCCAAGUGGAGACAACUGUCCAGGUUCUCAUUAGGUUUGCAUGGCUACCUGAGACAGAGAUUCCUUGUUACUACUGGUCACACGUGGGGUUCUGGCUCCACCAACUCUUCACAGGAUUGUGGAGGGGAGGAGUGGCUCAUGCCUGCUGGGCUGGUGUGUAAGUCCCAACUCCCUACUUGGCCUUCUCUGACACCAUGCCAGUGGGGUUCUGGGCAUGUGGUUACAGCUCACAAGGAUGAGAGUCUAAACUCCCUAUUCAAUCUUUACUGCCUGGAAAUGGGUGAAGAUGAGAGUACAGUUUUCAGUAUGGAGCUUGGCUGGGAUAGAGCAGUUAUUGUCUAAACGUAUUACUUUUUGUUAGGCUGUCCCUUUCCAGGUCCUUUGGCUGGAGAAGAUUUUGUUGGGAUAUUUUCUUCUAUGCUUUUUGGCAUUUUCAGGUUAACAACUGCUUCAAUUCUAAGUCUGCUUCUGUAUGCAACAGAAAGAAAACUCAGAGAACGUACCACACUGUUAUCUCUUGGGCCCUGAGCUUCUUAGCAGUUCUGCCUCCUCCUUAGCUUUCAGAGUCUUUUUAUGUUUGUUUUACAUAUAAUUUCUAGGGCUUUUAGUUACACUCAGUGAGGGGAUUAGGGAAAAUUACACGUACCCCAAACUCUAAGAUUCAUUAGUUUUAAGGAAGUAAAAUGUUGUGGUUCCUGUCAACAUUUCUUUGUAAAUCUUAUAUAAUCUUAUGAUCUUUUCUCCUACUUAAUGUAUCUGUCAUAUUUGUUUUUAUUUUCACAUAGUGGCAUUUUUAAUGGUUUAAAAGUUUUCAUGUCAUAUCUAACACAAAAUGAAUCAAAAAUGGAUCAUAGGCUUAAAUGUAAAACAUAACUUUAUAAAACUUUUUGAAAACAACACAUUAGUCAAUGUAUUCUUAGAUAUGAUGCAAAUAGUAAUGAUCCUUAUAAAAAAUUAAUAAACUGGACUUCAUCAACAUUAACAGGUUUUGUCCUCUGAAAGACAUCUUUAGGAGGAUGAACAGCAAAUCAUACAUCUGACAAAGGAUUUCUAUAUAGACUAUAUAGUGAAAGUGAAAGUGUAAGUGUUAGUCACUGAUUUGUGUCCAACUCUUUGCAACCCCAUGGUCUGUAGCCCACCAGGCUCCUCUGUACAUGGAAUUUUCCAGGCAAGAAUAUUGGAGUGGGUAGCCAUUCCCUUCUCCAGGGGAUCUUCCCAAUCCAUGGAUCAAACCUGGGUCUCCUGCAUUGCAGGCAGAUCCUUCACCAUCUGAGCCAUAUAAAGAACUCUCAAAUUUCAACAAAUAAUGCAAUUUUUAAAAUGCGCAAAAGAUUCGAAAAAAAAUUCUUCACCAAGAAGAUAUGCCAACAUGCAAAGGUGUUAAAAAUGUUAGUAGUUGGAAAAACUCUAAUUAAACGACAGUGAAAUAUUACUAUACAAAGGUCCAUAGAGUCAAGGUUAUGGUUUUUCCAGUAGUCAUGUAUGGAUGUGAGAGUUGGACUAUAAAGAUAACUGAGUGCUGAAAAAUUGAUACUUUUGAACUGUGGUGUUUGAGAAGACUCUUGAGAGUCCCUUGGACUGCAAGGAGAUCCAACUAGUCCAUCCUAAAGGAAAUCAGCUCUGAAUAUUCAUUGGAAGGACUGAUGCUGAAGCUGAAACUCCAAUCCUUUGGGCACCUGAUGCGAAGAACUGACUCAUUGGAAUAGACCCUGAUGCUGGGAAAGAUUGAGGGUGGGAGGAGAAGGGGACAACAGAGGAUGAGAUGGUCGGAUGGCAUUAUCAACUCAAUGGACAUGAGUUUGGGUAAACUCAGGGAGUUGGUGAUGGACAGGGAGGCCUGGCGUGUUGCGGUCCAUGGGGUCGCAAAGAACUGGACAUGACUGAUGACUGAACUGAACUGAACUGAAUAAUAAAAUGAAAAUUUGACCAUGCCAUGACUGGUAAGGAUGUUAAGCAGCUAAAACUGUUAUAUAGUCAUUAUGGAAAACAUGGCAGUUUCUUAUAGAGUGAAACACGUUUACCACAUGAUCCAGCAAUUCCACUUCUACAUUUUUACCUAAGGGAAAGGAAAACCUAUGUUCACACAAAAACAUGUAUGCAAAUGUUUACAGCAGCUUUACUUACCAUUGUCAAAAACUGAAAAUAACCUUAAAGUCUCUUGUCUUGGGAUUGGAUAAACGAACCAAGGUCUGUCUACCCAAUGGAGUACUGCUUAACAAUGAAAAAAGAUAUUGGUACACUCAGUGACUUGGAUGGAUUGCAAAGGCAUUAUGUUGAGUGGGGAAAAAAAAAAGCCAGUUUCAAAAGGUUAUGCUCUCUGUGAUUCCAUUUUUAUGACAUCCUGGAAAAGGCUAUAGUGACAGCUUAUAAAUCAGUGGCUGCCAGAGAGUCAGAGCAGUUUAGGGGAACAAGGUAAGGCUGACUGUCUUGAGGCACCACAAGAGAACGUGAGCAUGUGUGUGUGUGAGGUGAAACUCUUCUCUGUCUCGAUUAUGGUGGUAGUGUGUAUUUGUGUGCAUUUGUCAAAACUCACAGAACUGUACACCGAAAAAGAGUGAAUUUUACUAUAUGUUACUAAAAUGCAAGGAGAAAACGUACAUGACUGUUGUCUCCCUUCUGUAACCUCUAAUUUACUCAUCAUUGUUUUAUAUCCAGACCUACCUCUUUCUUCAUACUAGGAAAAUUCUAGUAUGUAGAAGAUUGCAUUCCAAGUGAUAGAAAUAUUAAGAACAAAGAUUCAGAAUUGAUGUAGACCUUAGAGCCAUUUAUGCACUUGAUUCUAAAAUGAGAAAACGUCAUUAAAUGGAGCAGGUUCCGGAUGAUCCCUGGGGAACAUCACUUUGACACGAAGGUUGACAGAGGUUAUCCAUCACAAGCCAUUGACUCUGACCUUAAAGGCUGUAAUUCUCAAAAGGUGAAUCCUUCCAGGGACCUCAGCUGUUUCAAUGUUAAGUGAAAAACAUGAGGAACCAGUCUCUACAUUCUCUCUAAUUUGUUUUUUGUCCAGUCCUGUGAAAAUCAAAUUUAUUUGUCCAUACUGCCUUGGAAAAAGUAUGCAAUAAAUUCUAGUCCUGUUUUAUCAACUAAAUAAGUGGAUGAUGUCAAGGAGUCAUUUAACUCCUCAGAGUCGCUUUCCUCUUCCUUUUGCAGCUGCAUUGUGUUAAAUUAUUUGAAGUCUCUUCCACCUAUAAAGUACCAUAGGAUAUUAAUGAAACCUCUGAAGCAUCCAAUUGUCCAUUCAACUGUCUGACAUGUCUCAGGAAGUUAUCUAGGUGCCUUAGAUACACAUGAGUCCCUGCUUGAGUGUGGACAGCCGCAGGGCCAUAGUACAACAGUUUGGUUGGUCAAGGUCUUAGGGGAGAAUCAGUAGGAGAGCAAUUCAUGAAUGAGAAUGCCAGUAAGCAUCCAGACACUCCCAGAUUGACUGCUGCUUCUCUGCUCUACCCGUCUGAUUUUAUUUGAGAAAGAAAGGAGGUGGCCUUUCCUCUGCUUUCCUUGGUCUGUCCAUGGCUGUAAAGGAAUAAGAAGCUACAGACUCUCAAACUAGUUAUAGUCCAGCUGUAUAUCCUCUCAGGUCUUCAUUUCUUAUUUAACCAGACAUACAAUGAAAGCAUCUAAACUUGGAGGGUCCUCAGUAAAUGUGAAGCUCUAAAAGCUUUCCCAGUGAUGAGUAAGCAUUUAGAAUCUGGUUGUUUUGAUGGUUUUUAUUUUUUUGGUGAGUGGUAACAGCCUAGCUUUGAGAAAUAUGUGUAGCACAUUUUCCCACACUUCUGCUAAAGAAACAGCAAAAUAAAAUAAGUAUUCUGGAAGAUGAUUUUAAAGAAUGAACAUAACUCCUGCCCAUUAAUUACCACAUGAUUGGAUUCUAGGAAUGUUCAUUUAAAAAACAGUUAACCCAGAAGUUUAAACGACAAGGAAAAUUAUUGUGGUAAAAAGCUAACGGUCUAUUGAUACAAUCUCACUUGUAUAUGGAAGUAUAAAGAUUAAAUGUGAAUAAAUUUUACAUUAAUUCUAGGAAUAUAUUUGUCAAAGAUGAAACUGGAUUUCUGUAUAUACUAGAAAAGCUCUAUUAAUCAGAAAGCUUCCAUUCAUGUUUAAAUAGGAUGCAGGAAUUUUUUUUUAACACUUUUCCAUCUAUUGUUGAAACCAUUGGUAAAAUAUAUAAGCUUUCCUCACUUUCUUUUUUUUUUUUUUCCCUCACUUUCUGAGCACAGAAGAGUCAUCAAAGUUGAGUUAACCCUUGAAGAGAGGCAUUGAAACAUCCGUGAUGAUGGUUAAUACAGUCGAAGCCAGGACUGAAGACCAGACCUCAGAACCUCAGGUGAACCCUAGAGAAUACUUUUGGAGAGAUGAAUUUCUGACUCAGCUUUAAAGCAUUGAGUUCUCUCCUUUCACCACGUUGUAGGGAGCCAAAACGGAGAGUUUAGCAAAGGAUAACAUGUCCACUUUGUUGACACUGGCCAACUGAGAUUUUACUGUCUUUAGAGAAUAAAGUUUAUGAGUCGAGAUACUAAAUAAUGUACUGGAUCUCAAAGAAUAUUCCCUCCAAAUACUGUUUAAUGACAAAGGCUAAAACUUUUCAGUGAGGAAACCUGCAAGAUACCUUAACCAAAUGAUCAAAGAUAACCUUCAGCAAUGGAAUAAAAACUACAGCAUGUGCCUCCUGAUAGAGUCAACUACAAAUGGGCACUUGCCAUGGGCACUUGCCAUCUACCUCUCCAAGGAUUAAAUCACGUGCUGCUGCAGCUGCUGAUUGCAACAUUGGCUGAAAGGAGUUCAGGGUGGAGAGCAGAAAUGAGGCACUCUGUGUUUGGGGAAAAGCUGGCAGAGCACGUCUUAAGUUAUUUCAGGAGCUGAUUUAUGAGCCCAGUUCUUAUAUUUCCUCCUAUCUAGAAAAGCACUGAAAUCCUUAUGGUGAUGAUUGUUUCUCCGGACUAGCAGACAGCUUCAUGAGACCAGCAGAAACCUUCUGGGAAAAUAUGUGCUUGAUUGCGUGUACUCUCCCUUCACCAAAAUCACAUAUAUACUGACCUUCCCCCCUGCAUCUUUGGAGUGGUUUCUCAAAGCCGUCUGAGGUGCUGUCUCACAGACGUCAGUCCUCGUUCUACCCCCAAUAAAACUUAACUGGCAACUCU